UACGGGGGGGGCGGAGCGUUGUUCGGAAUUACUGGGCGUAAAGCGCACGUAGGCGGGUUGUUAAGUCAGGGGUGAAAUCCUGGAGGCUCAACUCCAGAACUGCCUUUGAUACUGGCAACCUAGAGACUGGAAGAGGUUAGUGGAAUUCCCAGUGUAGAGGUGAAAUUCGUAGAUAUUGGGAAGAACACCAGUGGCGAAAGCGGCUUCCUGGACCAGUACCGACGUCAGGCACGAAAGCGUGGGGAGCAAACAGG
rnacentral:rRNA from 1 species